rnacentral:rRNA from 1 species
AUUGAAGAUUUAUCUGAUUGAAGUUUUAUAACAAUGGCUUUAGUGGCGGACUGGUGAGUAACGCGUGAGCAACCUGCCUGUUAGAGGGGAAUAACAGUGAGAAAUCAUUGCUAAUACCGCAUAUGCCAUAGAUACCACAUGGUAUCAGUGGGAAAGGAGUAAUCCGCUAACAGAUGGGCUCGCGUCUGAUUAGAUAGUUGGUGGGGUAACGGCCUACCAAGUCAACGAUCAGUAGCCGGACUGAGAGGUUGAACGGCCACAUUGGGACUGAGAUACGGCCCAGACUCCUACGGGAGGCAGCAGUCGGGAAUAUUGCGCAAUGGAGGAAACUCUGACGCAGUGACGCCGCGUAUAGGAAGAAGGUCUUCGGAUUGUAAACUAUUGUCGUUAGGGAAGAAAAAGGACAGUACCUAAGGAGGAAGCUCCGGCUAACUACGUGCCAGCAGCCGCGGUAAUACGUAGGGAGCAAGCGUUAUCCGGAUUUAUUGGGUGUAAAGGGUGCGUAGACGGGAUAAUAAGUUAGUUGUGAAAUCCCUCGGCUCAACUGAGGAACUGCAACUAAAACUGUUAUUCUUGAGUGUUGGAGAGGAAAGCGGAAUUCCUAGUGUAGCGGUGAAAUGCGUAGAUAUUAGGAGGAACACCAGUGGCGAAGGCGGCUUUCUGGACAAUAACUGACGUUGAGGCACGAAAGUGUGGGGAGCAAACAGGAUUAGAUACCCUGGUAGUCCACACCGUAAACGAUGAAUACUAGGUGUAGGUUAUGUCAUGUAAUCUGUGCCGUCGCAAAC